ensembl:processed_transcript 6530402F18Rik RIKEN cDNA 6530402F18 gene
CGCAGCCCGGAUCAGACCGGGAGAUAAAAGCCCCGAUGGUGACCGUGAGUGAUGGCAAGAGGAUUUAGCCUCGGCAUUAACUUGGAGCGGAGUGCAGGGGGGCGGUGAGGCGCCCCGCCAUCUGGCCGGCGCCGCGCCAGGGGGAUGUUCAGGCGCCUGGACCAGCAGCGGCGAAGCCCACCCAGGCCGGGGGCUGAGUGGGGCGCGCGUGCAGGUUCUCCCCUGGCUGCCCAGGGGGCCCCAAAAGUUUGCACUUGUUAGCAGCGACCUCCGAUCGGCCCGGGAGGGCGAUGCAAGCGGUGCGGUUGGCCCCCUUCCCUGGCCCGCGUCUCUGGGACGGCUGCGGGCGGGCCCCCCGGCGGCCGGAGGGUUCCCCAGCCCAGAUUUGACGGUGGCCACCGCAGCAGCGGCGCGGGGCAGGAGUUUCCAGCUCUCAACCCUGCGGUCCCUGCGCCCACCCAGCACCCGCCAGAGGGUGGCGGUCUCCGGCCUCUCGGGGCUCGCUCCGGGAAGCUGCUCCGAGCCUGGGUGCUGCUGCUAAUGAACACAUUCUCUCUCUUUUCUCUUCACAAUGAAAGCCAAGCCUGAGCCCAGGUACCUGGAUGAAGUGAGAGUUGAAGUCUCUGGAAUUUCACAAUGAGUGGCCGAUGGCUAUGAGCCAAGGUCAGCCGGUCCCAGUGCCUGCCCCACACCAGAGCAGAGGCAAAUGGCCUCUCCAGUUAACACCUCAGUGGCUUUUUUUAUAGUCCAUUCACAGGGUCGUUGCCACUUUCAGCCCAUAUGAAAAGAAAUCUUUUUAUUGGUCUAAGAGACCAAGUCCAGUCCCAAAGAGGGGACUGGUUUCCAUCUAACACGCACACCUCCUGAUUCCGUGUUAUCUUCACUGUGCAGGCUGGUAUGCGGUUGUGUGCAGCACGUCGCACAUUAAGGGCCCUUUAAAGACCUGGAUUGAUUGGAAGGACAAAAAUUAAAAGCAAUCUGAUCCAGCCCCAUGCCGGAUCCCUGCGGAUUUCCUCCUUAUCCCAUUUCCAUCCACUGUCACAAUUUGAGAGCCUGCCCGAUUUGAUCAGCUUCACCUCCAGGGGAGGUGUAACACCAAGGUUAGGAGGACACCAAGUUACAGGCAACUUUUUGAUCUGCCCAUCAGCAGCCUGAGAAACGCUGGCUCUGGAUUUUCUGUAUCAGCCAUUUGGAAAACACAGCUCCCACUAUUGGCAGACCUGCAGUGUUCAAGUCAACAGUACAUUCCAGACAACACCGCCUGGCAGAUGUGGCAUUUCCAUGCUGAGGUCCCAAGUGCCCCCUGACCCCACCACCACCUCUCCAGUGCCCCUCUGGGCCCCACCCAUUCGGACUGCGCAGCCAUGCUGCGCCUGCUGGCUCUCUUCCUGCACUGCCUCCCGCUGGUCUCUGGGGACUAUGACAUCUGCAAAUCCUGGGUGACCACAGAUGAGGGCCCCACCUGGGAGUUCUACGCCUGCCAGCCCAAGGUGAUGCGCCUGAAGGAUUAUGUCAAGGUCAAAGUGGAGCCCUCCGGCAUCACGUGCGGAGACCCUCCUGAAAGGUUCUGUUCCCAUGUAAGUCGGCCCUUGGCUUCUCCAUCACUGAAUUGAGGGGUGGGGGACUGUGUGCAGAGACAGACCUGGGGGUGGCUGAGCAGAACCAGAGGGCCCUGCCUGAUACAAGACCGACUCCAAGUCCCACCAGGGAAGGUGCCAAAGCCAAGCUGCCCUGAGGACCGGGGGGUUGAGUGACAUUUUGUGGGUGGAAGCAGUCUUGGCCAGCUGACCCUGGCAUGGUUUCCUGCCAGGGAUUGCACAGCAGUCCUAGUUCCUUGACUCAAAGCCAGUCCCUCCUCCUUUGCAGGAAGUCAGCAUUCAGACCAGAGAUCUGGAUACUAUCUGCAAGGUUACCCUCCAACCUGCAUGGGUUCUCGCCCCCUCCCCCUGCCCAGUCCAGUCUAGUGCAUAGGUGGCAUUCAUGAUCCCAGCUCAUGCCAGGCACUACUGACCAAGCAUUUUGAAGGCGGAAGCAGGGGUGAGGAGGUCAGGCUAAAUAGGACAGCAUCUCAGCUGGUGCUAUCCCCUAGUCAAGAGGUCAGCACUGAGGCCUCUCAUGUGAGCUCCGAGAAGAAGGGGUCUUGGAGCUAUCAGGAGCCUCGGUGCUUAAGCAAUGUUAACGAGGGCAGUGGGAAUAGCGGUGUUUGACAAGUGCUCAGGAUGUGGGGUCGAAAGCCCAAGCAGUGUUACUCUAUUGAGUUUUCCCCUGGGUGGGAGGGAAAUGUUGAGACAGGUCUCAGACCAGUGUCACCAUAUCGGGGGUUCUGUUCUGCCAGCUGUAGGAUGGGUGCAGCAACACAGUACAUUAAAGGGUCAAUGGCUCUGUGGAGACACGUUGUUCAAAGUCAGAGUGGGCACAGAGAAGGUGUCCCAGAUGUUUAGCUCUUUCUGGUCAUACGGAUAGGGAAACUGAGGUGAGGGUGGGGGGCUUCGGGGAAGGCCCUUGGCCAAGGUGACGCAGCAGAAAGUGGUGAAGCUGCUGAGUUAGGCUUGGCCUGCCUGACGCAGCUGCCUAUGCCUGGCAGAGGCUGGGCAGAGCAGCCAGAGGAGCAGGCAAGAGGGGUGCGAUGUCACCCUGCAGGUGGCUGGUGCCUCUGCGUGUCCUUGGGGAAAGCUGGGUUUAUUGCAUAGUCAACCCGGUGUCCCAGACCAGACUCCUAAAAAUGUCUCAGUCCCUUGGGGUGGCUUCAGUCACCAUGCAGAGAGAGCAGCUAGCUUGGGAAGGUAGAUCCCUACUUGGGCUUGUCAAUGGUGAUGAGGCUGUCACUGUAGGUGGUAGUUGGGCCUGGGCCAGCUUAGAGAAGGGAGGGAGUGAGAGAAGGAGAAAGAGAGAAGACAGCCCAGGGCUAGGAGCCAAGAUUGGAUUAUGUAUGGACAUUGUCGAGCAUCGAAAGACCACGCUGGCUCAAGACAGGCAAAGGGCCCCCUGAAAGUUAGAGCUGAGGCGAUAGAGAAUCCCAUUCUGAGCCCUUGUCUCAGCUCCUGUGGGAACUGCUUCAACCACACACUUCCCGGGCAGAGUCUCAACAUGAUUUUGUCUUUUAAGUAUUAAUCAUUGCCAGGGUUGGGGACAGUUCAUGGAAAUGGCUUCUAUUCGAGUGUGUAGGAGCUACAGACGACCACCAGAAGCAAAUAUGGGACCCUCUCCUGGUUCAUGACCUUGAUGAUGCUGAGCUCUGGGGUCUGGAUAGGUGGGAAGUCCAGGAGGAACCUCUGGGCAUUUUAUCACUUGCUUGAUGGCUGCAAACGUUCCACGACAGGCAGGUACAGCGUUGCCUUUGAUUACAAGUGUGAGACUAGGGAGAAUGAAGUGCCACAGGGGCAGGUGGAGGGCAGCCCUCAGAAGGUGCUUCGAGGUAACACCCCAGUCUAAUCCCUUUUUAAAGAUUAGAAAGAUUGCCUAAGUCAUGCCAAGGUCAAGGAGCUUAGCAGGCAAGCCAGAAACUGUCUGUGGCCAGAGCGCGUGCUUAUCCACCAGGGUCCGCGGCUUCCCUCUAUGAGCCUCCGUUUUCUUCCUGUUUCAAUAAAACACGCUAAUGUAGGUGUAACGUCACUGCGCUGGCAGGGAGACAGCUGGGCCAGGCACUAGCGAGCAUGGGCACGGGGGAGUGCUUUAACGUGCAGUGGCCGUAAUUAUCUUACGUCACCAUUGUUAUCACUCCCUCGGUGGCUGUCUGGGUUUCUCUGCUUCCCUGGAGUAUAUUGCUUCACUCCAGCCUUGACCACAUCCCAGUCUGCACUUCUGGGCUACAGGCGGCAGCGGGUGGUAGAUGAACACCCUAAGCCAGAGCAGGUGUGCCUUGCUAGCCAGCAGAGGGCACCCUGGUGGCAGCCAGACCACCCAGUGCCCUCGUAGUCUUCUAAGCUAGGGCCAGCUCAUCCCUGCUCUCUGGCAAUCCUCCUGCUAAUGGGUAUGGGCCUGCCUGUCCCAGCAAGCAGGCAGACAGAGCAUGAACCCUGGAACCGCCCUCCCCCCAGAGUACAAGACAGACGGGGGCAAAAGGGCAGUUGCCCUUUUCAGCCCCAGGGUGUGGCCCCUACUCUCCCAGGUUCCUGUCCUUCAGCAAGGCCACUAGAGAAUUGAAUUGAAAAUUCCAGCCUGGUAAGGAAGGGGAGGGGGAUAAAAGACAAGAUAAAUGAAUAAAUAAAAACCUAUUGGCUCUAAACGCGCAAGGAAAA